rnacentral:rRNA from 1 species
GCAUCUAGAUUCGGAUCCGCGGCCGCAGAGUUUGAUCAUGGCUCAGAUUGAACGCUAGCGGGAUGCUCUACACAUGCAAGUCGAACGGCAGCACGAGAGAGCUUGCUCUCUUGGUGGCGAGUGGCGGACGGGUGAGUAAUAUAUCGGAACGUGCCCAGUAGCGGGGGAUAACUACUCGAAAGAGUGGCUAAUACCGCAUACGCCCUACGGGGGAAAGGGGGGGAUUCUUCGGAACCUCUCACUAUUGGAGCGGCCGAUUUCGGAUUAGCUAGUUGGUGGGGUAAAGGCUCACCAAGGCAACGAUCCGUAGCUGGUUUGAGAGGACGACCAGCCACACUGGGACUGAGACACGGCCCAGACUCCUACGGGAGGCAGCAGUGGGGAAUUUUGGACAAUGGGGGAAACCCUGAUCCAGCCAUCCCGCGUGUAUGAUGAAGGCCUUCGGGUUGUAAAGUACUUUUGGCAGAGAAGAAAAGGUAUCUCCUAAUACGAGAUACUGCUGACGGUAUCUGCAGAAUAAGCACCGGCCAACUACGUGCCAGCAGCCGCGGUAAUACGUAGGGUGCAAGCGUUAAUCGGAAUUACUGGGCGUAAAGCGUGUGUAGGCGGUUCGGGAAAGAAAGAUGUGAAAUCCCAGGGCUCAACCUUGGAACUGCAUUUUUAACUGCCGAGCUAGAGUAUGUCAGAGGGGGGUAGAAUUCCCCGUGUAGCAGUGAAAU